UUCUCCCAUUUUUUCUUCUACUUCUCCAUCUCUUUAAAGAAACCAAAAAUUUUAAAGGAGGGAUUUUGCUUUUGAGGGAAGUUAGUACUCCCAUCUGUGAAGUUGUUUAUUUCAUCCAAAUUUUUAAUCAAGAAAUCUUUGCUUGUCGUUUGAAAUGGGGUGCUUGAUAUCUCUACUGUAUCGGUGUUGCUAUUGGUGAUAAGAGUUAGAUUUAUUUGGAAGUAGUAAGCUACAAGAAUCUCGCGGCAGCGACGUUAGGGACAUAAAGCUGGUAUUUACUUUGUUGUCCUUAUAUAUAUAUGUAUGUCAUGGCAUAAUAACAAGUGGGUAUUGGAAGAGUUUUGGUAUAGUGUCCAGUUUGUUAGAAUUUUCAUUGUUUAGCAUUCAGGAAGCUUCAUAAAAGGAUGAAUAUUAGUUUACAAAACUUGUAUCUCAUAAAUGAAAGUGCUAUUUAGUUAUUGCAGUUGAAUUAUAUUUUGUUUGUCUCA